AGCCUGGGGAGCUGGAGAGGGAGAGAGGCCAUUAUGGCCAUCACAAUACCAUCAACAUGUCACAGUAGCCAGGUCCCUCUGCCAAGUACUCAUAUCUCUGCUUGGCUGAACACCAGCCUAGGCUAAGGUACAGUUAGAAAGAAUAGCAGUUUCAUUGGAAGGAACUGACAGAAAACAACCCUUCAUGUGAGCUUCACUGGGAGAAAGACUCUGGAUGACAGGCCUUCAUGAUUGGAAUUUGAAGUGGCAGAACAUUAGAUCCGAGCUGAGACUGUAGUCAAGGACAUAGCAGAAAGAAGAGGGAAGAGAAGCCAGGAGGAAAUCUGGACAGCUCUGACACGGAGGACGGAGUCCUGGUGUCAGCCGCCCCAAGCCGAGAACUCGAGUCUCAUGGUUAGUUGGUAGAGACAGUAAAGAGAAACUAUCAAAGCUGUCCAAGACGUGACUGAGCGACCCAACACGCUUCUCAGAUGGAACUUGGGAAAUGGUGUCUCAAGGGAUCCACACAGCCUGUGAGAACUGUAACUACACACCAUCACUUUGUUCUGUGAGCAGUCCAAGGACACUGAGGAUGCUGGCUUGAGGAAACCUGCCCGAGCCCUCAGGAAGCAAUAGCUGAAACGGCUAACCCACCAUCUCUCCGUUGCCAAAGGCUGCCUGCCCAGCACUUCCACAGCAGUCUAGCUGCUCCACAGUAGCAUUAAGAACCCAAAGUCUUCUCAAAACAGGCAAAGGGCUGGGUGUUGUUCCCUCAAAGUAGCUGCUGACCCCAUCUUACUGACCAACAAUGGAAAACAGCAAGGGGAGCUAUUCAGGGAGAAGGUGCAAGUCUGAGACAGGGAUGGGAGAGAAUGAAGAAGAUAAAGGAACAGAAUCUCAAGUCCCACCAGGAGAGUACAAGGCAUAUGAUAUCCUGACCUUGGCCAUUUGACCUAUCCAGAUACAUGGGACACAAACCAACAGGAUAUCCUUCUGCCACUACUACUGUGGCAAACCUAGGUGACGUGUGAUUUACAGAUUGUGUGGAGAAGACACGUUCCCUUUUCUGGUUCUUCUGUUCUGCUGCCCUUGGACAUCUGCUGAGGCUGUGCAUAAUGACUAAGAUGGUGUGGAGGGGUCCGUUCACCUAUGGAGACCAGAAAGCA
rnacentral:lncRNA from 1 species